ensembl:Mt_tRNA
GUUAAUGUAGCUUAACUUAAAGCAAGGCGCUGAAAAUGCCUAGAUGGCUCACGGCCCCAUAAACA